rnacentral:rRNA from 1 species
AGGACGUCCAACUUAACUUGGAGUCCGAACUCUCACUUUCUAACCCUGUGCACUUGUUUGGGAUAGUAACUCUCGCAAGAGAGCGAACUCCUAUUCACUUAUAAACACAAAGUCUAUGAAUGUAUUAAAUUUUAUAACAAAAUAAAACUUUCAACAACGGAUCUCUUGGCUCUCGCAUCGAUGAAGAACGCAGCGAAAUGCGAUAAGUAAUGUGAAUUGCAGAAUUCAGUGAAUCAUCGAAUCUUUGAACGCACCUUGCGCUCCAUGGUAUUCCGUGGAGCAUGCCUGUUUGAGUGUCAUGAAUACUUCAACCCUCCUCUUUCUUAAUGAUUGAAGAGGUGUUUGGUUUCUGAGCGCUGCUGGCCUUUACGGUCUAGCUCGUUUGUAAUGCAUUAGCAUCCGCAAUCGAACUUCGGAUUGACUUGGCGUAAUAGACUAUUCGGUGAGGAAUUCUAGUCUUCGGAUUAGAGCCGGGUUGGGUUAAAGGAAGCUUCUAAUCAGAAUGU